UUUGUUUCGUUGACUGAUACAACCUAUGGAGAUAAAUAAAACUUCCAACCACAACCACCACCACCACCACCACCACUUCCUUCGCCAAUUUCCACCACCACCGCUGCCACCAGCAACAUAAUUAACAUCCAGCACCAUCUCUAUUACCACCACUAUGUAUGGAAAGGAAGGACAAUUCUUAAAUGUGGAAGAUAUGAUGAGACUAUUCACCAGAGAAGGUUUGUUGUUUGAUUUUUUUUUUUCUAUCUAAUUAAUCAUGUUGUUGAAUGAAAUUUUCUUUAUUUUUCCUUCAUUUUGAUUUCUGGGAUUUUUUUUCUUAUAUUGUUUAUUAAGGUUUUAUUAAUGUUUUAAUUUUUAAAUAUUAUUUUGUUUAUCUUUUCAGAUCUGUUUCUUCCCUUAAUUCAUCAUGGUUUCGUCAAAGUUUUGUUGAUUUUCCUUGAAUUUAGUUUUUUUUUUUAUCAGUUUGUGGGAAUUUUUCUUGUGUUCAUCGAAGUUGUAUUAAAGUUUUGUUUUUUAACAUUAAUUUUGAUUUUAUUUAUCUUUUCAGAUUUGUUUCUUCCUUUAAUCCAUUAAGAUUUUAUUAAAGUUUUGUUGAUUUCCCUUCAAUUGGGGUUUUCAUUGAUUUUUGGGAUUUUUCUUAUGUUGUUGUGAUGGUUUCAUUAAAGUUUUGUUUUUUAACAUUAAAUUUGAUAUGAUUUUUCUUUUUAGAUUUGUUUGUUUCUUUAUAUCUAUCAAGGUUUCAUCAAAGUUUGUUUUUUCCCUUCAAUAUGUGUUUUUAUUGAUUCUGGGAUUUUUUUUCUUAUGUUGUUCAUCAAGCUUUCUGUAAAGCUUUGUUAUUCAACCUUAAUUUUGAU
rnacentral:lncRNA from 1 species